rnacentral:tRNA from 1 species
GAGUAGCUCAGCUGGAUAGAGCAACGGCCUUCUAAGCCGUCGGUCGCAGGUUCGAAUCCUGUCU